rnacentral:rRNA from 1 species
GAGACAGCAGUAGCCGCGGUAAAACGUAGGUGGCAAGCGUUGUCCGGAAUUAUUGGGCGUAAAGGGCUCGCAGGCGGUUUCUUAAGACUGAUGUGAAAGCCCCCGGCUCAACCGGGGAGGGUCAUUGGAAACUGGGAAACUUGAGUGCAGAAGAGGAGAGUGGAAUUCCACGUGUAGCGGUGAAAUGCGUAGAGAUGUGGAGGAGCACCAGUGGCGAAGGCGACUCUCUGGUCUGUAACUGACGCUGAGGAGCGAAAGCGUGGGGAGCGAACAGGAUUAGAUACCCGCGUAGUCCCUGUCUCUUAUAC